GGCUAAACAGGGUAUCUACAAGGAGACAUGGCAGUUGUUCAACCACGAAGACAGGUCUAAGAGCUUCUUUUCCACGCCUGGCGAAGGCUUUGACAAGAUUCUGCCGAAUAAACUGAUCAUGAUCAACCCUGAGCUGAGCUCAAGAAUCAGAGCAACCACAAGAGGCCUGAGCAAUUUCCACUUCGCUAAGCAGACCUUCUAUCCUCAGGGCUACGGCAUUGUUUGCUUCAGCGGAGCUCCCUUCAGGUCCAAGUUCAAUCAGAUAUUAUCGUAUAUGACGGAAGGAGGUCUCAUUUCCAAGUGGACCGAUGAAGAAGUGACAAAAGUAGCUGGAAAGAGCUCGGCUGAUGAAAGAAAACGGGGACAUACAGCCAUCACCAUCAAACAUUUACAAG